rnacentral:rRNA from 1 species
CCUACGGGUGGCAGCAGUGAGGAAUAUUGGUCAAUGGGCGCGAGCCUGAACCAGCCAAGUAGCGUGAAGGAUGACUGCCCUACGGGUUGUAAACUUCUUUUAUAAAGGAAUAAAGUGAGGCACGUGUGCCUUUUUGUAUGUACUUUAUGAAUAAGGAUCGGCUAACUCCGUGCCAGCAGCCGCGGUAAUACGGAGGAUCCGAGCGUUAUCCGGAUUUAUUGGGUUUAAAGGGAGCGUAGAUGGGUUGUUAAGUCAGUUGUGAAAGUUUGCGGCUCAACCGUAAAAUUGCAAUUGAUACUGGCAGCCUUGAGUACAGUUGAGGUAGGCGGAAUGUAUGGUGUAGCGGUGAAAUGCUUAGAGAUCAUACAGAACACCGAUUGCGAAGGCAGCUUACCAAACUAUAUCUGACGUUGAGGCACGAAAGCGUGGGUAGCAAACAGGAUUAGAUACCCGGGUAGUC